GAGGGCUGGAGUGAGGGGAGAGUUGUGGGACACGGAGUCGAAGGCUGGGUCAUGUAAGGUGACAGGACCACACAAGAGAGGCAGGUCUGGGGGUUGGGCUGAUGAGAGGCCAGGUGCUGGCGUGGCUUCUUCAUUCACAGUGAUCUUGGCGAAGAAGCUCCAGCUGGGCACUUCUGGGGUUCAGUUUCAACGGGGCAGGCAAGGACUAGGGAGUGGAAAGUUUAGACAGAGGUGGAAAGAAUCAACCAGCUCUCCAUGGCCAAUGCAAGCAACAGCAAGAACCCGGCGCCAAGACAAUGGCCCAGGCACUGGGGAGCGGGAGAGUGGGUGAUCCGAAGGUCGUCUUCUCCUCUGGCCAUGCUUUCUGAAUGACUCUGGUAUACUCAUCACUUCUGUGGCCUCUCAGUCCACUUGGGUAUAGCUUCUGCUCUCCUCCACGUCAUGAAGUCUCUCCCCAAGGACCCCAACGAGCUCCAAGACACUAAAUCAACCAGACACUUGUUCUUCAAUAGCCUUUUAUGCGGUGAAGACUCUUCAACUCUCGUGCGACUCUCUGUCCAACUUCGUACUAGACAGCUCCGUUCGGCUACUUUGCUAUAACAAAGAGAAUGCAAAAUACAGUGGCUCAAGGAAGACAGAAAUUUAUGCUCUUUCACACCACCGUGCAGAGUCUGGGGAGGUCUGUUCCACAAAGGUGUCCAGAGACUUUGGUUUUUCUACCUUGCUGCUUCACCAUCUAGGGUACUGUCCUCUUCCACAGAGUGGCAUAUGUCUCAACAGCACUGUGUUCCAGCAUGCAUGAAAGGGAAGAGGAAGCUGAAGGCGACCAGGCCCCUUUUACAAAAGUGACGCAGCACAUGGCACUUACACACCCAACCUGGGUGGCCAUACCUAGUUGCAAGCUAAGCUAGGGAGAGUGGCCUUGCAGUCAGUUAAAGCUGAGGCAUUUUGUUGCAAAAGUGAAAAAUAGAAGGCCCUGGGCUUUUUCAAUCCUUGCUAGAAGGAUAAGAAAUUAAGAAAAUCUGUAUAAGUGACCUGAGGCACAAAGACAAAGUUUAUCCAACUGACUAGUCAGAUCAUGGUUCUUUGCACCUUCCUCUCACCCCUCAGCCCCCAGAAUGACUGUGGAGAGGACAAUUAGCAGUUUCUGCCACAGGCAUCUCAAAUCUAACGUCUUCAAAACUCACCUCAUUAUCUUCCCCCUCAAACCUGCUCCUUCUACCGUUCUCUCUUGCGCUAAAUAUCAUUGUCAGACCCAGUUGUUCAAACCAGAAACCUGAAAUUAUUCUUGAGUUCUCUCUUUCCUUCACUGCCACACAUCCAGUCUUUCUCUAACUCUAGUCACUUAUACCUCUUAAAUAUUUUAGACUUAGACACUUCUCUCUAUUGCCACCAGCUUAGUACAGACACCGUUAUCUCUUCCUUGGAUCAUUGCGAUAGGUUCCUAACUGGCUUUCUUAUUCGUACUCCUGCCCCUUCAGAUCUAUUUCCCAUUCCAUUGUCAAAGUUACAUUAUAAAAAUGGAAAUAUGAUAAUAUCACUCCUCCUUGAAAUCCUUCAAUGACUUUUCAUGAACCCAAACCCCUAAUGUGCUCUGGAAGACCGGGCAUGAGGUGACCUCUGCUAGUGUCAUCAGGCUGGUCUCAUGCCUCUCUGAUCUUGGUUCUCUCCAAUCCUGAUAUCUUGGGUUUAUUUCAAAUCCUAAAGUCAGCUAUGCUAUUCCUUGAUUCUGGUCUUUCAAACAUCCUACUUUCUCCGUGGGAGCACUCUUCCUGUUUCCCUCCCUGCUUGGCUAACUAAUAUUUAUCCUUCAGAGCUCAUUUUGGGAUGAUUUUCUCAAUGGGGCCUUCCUCCUUUCUGCUGGGACCCUCUGUUUGUUCUGCGCUCCUACAGCAUCUCAUAAUUCUUCUUUACUAACACUAAUCAAAUCGAUGAUUAAAUGGCUAGUCUCUGUGUUUGUGACUGUAUUGCAAGCUCCGAGAAGGCUGGGCUGCCUUUAUUUGAUGAAUAAAACAAAUGAAAGCAUUUGGCA
rnacentral:lncRNA from 1 species